AUAAACAUUGAACAACUAAGAAAACAAACAAAAGCGAAACAACACAAUUCAACAUGCAAAGACCAAAAUUCCAUUUACACAAUUCAACAACAAAAGAAAAACCACGCACAGGAACAUUCAACUCAACAAAACUCAAAACGACACCACAAAAACCUUCCACACACAAGAAUCUACAAAAAAAAAACAACAUGCAACCAGCACACCAGGGACCAAGAAGACCGCCCAGAUUCCCAAUCUACCUCAACAUGUAUGGUAAUGCUGUUGAGAGUAUGAGUACCUAAAAAUGUGAGCAUAAAAAUAAACGUUCUCAAAAUAAAAUAAAGUCUAUUUUUACAAGCGCAUUCUACGACUUCAAAAAUAUGCCAAUUUGUAUGGAAAGCUCUAUGCCCCAGUUCUGUUUCAUCAUUUAGUUUAUUUUUAUUCCACACAAGGCACAUCAGGUGCCUGCAAGUGAAGUUGCUUCACGACAAGGCAGCUUCUCAUUUGCUAUGUCGCAAGUUCACUACUGACCUCCUGGAUGUGUGUCUCAUCCAGGUACCCUGGCUUAACUCGGGGGUAAUUAGAGGCCUCCAAACCGACCAAGAAUUCCUACAGGGAGAUCUGGUAGCCGUACUGAUCAGGCUGCCAUCACUGACUGGGGAACCUGAAAUUGUCCUCGGCAUACUUACUAGGCGAUGUCGAUGCCUGAGGUGUCUAGACUGGUUGCCUUUUGCCAACAGCGCAACCUUGGGUGGAUAAUAGGCUGUGAUGCAAAUGUCCACCACGAAAUGUCAACAAACGUGGUGUAUGGAACGGAAGAGUUAUCAAGUUAAAACAUGAAGAUUACGGUUUUCCCGUUUGUAUGGAGUAAUAAUAAGGUACUGAUGUUCCCACGAAUAUUAAACUUUUGUUCAUUCUAAGAUACCAUUUCUCAAAAUUAUUGUCGAAUAAUAUACAUACAUAUGUAUCAACAAUACUAAUUCACGAGUUAUCGAAUUAAAAAA